rnacentral:rRNA from 1 species
CGCUGGCGGCGUGCUUAAUACAUGCAAGUCGAACGAGAAAGUCCCUUCGGGGAUGAGUACAGUGGCAGACGGGUGAGUAAUGCAUAGGUAACCUGCCUCCGAGAUGGGGACAACCUUCCGAAAGGAGGGCUAAUACCGAAUGACACCACCGCUACAUAAGUAGCGGGGGUCAAAGGUGGCCUCUACUUGUAAGCUAUCGCUCGGAGAUGGGCUUAUGUGCCAUUAGCUUGUUGGUAAGAUAACGGCCUACCAAGGCGACGAUGUUUAGCUGAUCUGAGAGGUUGAUCAGCCACACUGGAACUGAGACACGGUCCAGACUCCUACGGGAGGCAGCAGUAGGGAAUAUUGCGCAAUGGAGGAAACUCUGACGCAGCGACGCCGCGUGGGUGAUGAAGGCUUUCGGGUCGUAAAACUCUGUCAGAAGGGAAGAAUGACAAUCUGGCUAAUACCUAUGGCGAGUGACGGUACCUCUAAAGGAAGCACCGGCUAACUACGUGCCAGCAGCCGCGGUAAUACGUAGGGUGCAAACGUUGUUCGGAAUUAUUGGGCGUAAAGCGCGUGUAGGUGGUUUGUUAAGUCGGGUGUGAAAGCCCAGGGCUCAACCCUGGAAGGGCAUCCGAAACUAGCUCGCUAGAGGACAGUAGAGGGAGGCGGAAUUCCUAGUGUAGAGGUGAAAUUCGUAGAUAUUAGGAGGAAUACCGGUGGCGAAGGCGACCUCCUGGGCUGUUCCUGACACUGAGACGCGAAAGCGUGGGUAGCAAACAGGAUUAGAUACCCUGGUAGUCCACGCCGUAAACGAUGAGUACUAGAUGUUGUGAGAUAGACCCUCGCAGUGUCGCAGCUAACGCGUUAAGUACUCCGCCUGGGAAGUACGGCCGCAAGGUUAAAACUCAAAGGAAUUGACGGGGGCCCGCGCAAGCGGUGGAGCAUGUGGUUUAAUUCGAUGCAACGCGAGAAACCUUACCUGGGCUUGACAUCCCUAGACCGCUCCAGAAAUGGAGUUUUCUCUUCGGAGACUGGGAGACAGGUGCUGCAUGGCUGUCGUCAGCUCGUAUCGUGAGAUGUCGGGUUAAGUCCCUUAACGAGCGCAACCCUUGUCCUUAGUUGCUACCAUUUAGUUGGGCACUCUAUGGAGACUGCCGGUGUUAAACCGGAGGAAGGUGGGGAUGACGUCAAGUCCUCAUGGCCCUUAUGUCCAGGGCUACACACGUGCUACAAUGGCCGGUACAGAGGGUCGCAAACCCGCGAGGGGGAGCUAAUCUCAGAAAGCCAGCCUUAGUUCGGAUUGGAGUCUGCAAUUCGACUCCAUGAAGCUGGAAUCGCUAGUAAUGGCGUAUCAGAAUGAUGCCGUGAUACGUUCCCGGGCCUUGUACACACCGCCCGUCACACCGCGAAAGUUGAUUUCACCAGAAGUCGUUCGCCUAACCGUAAGGAGGGAGACG